rnacentral:rRNA from 1 species
AAUAAAUACCUUACAGAGGUCUCGUUAACCGAGAUCUCUCAAACGGAAUGAGUACAACGUGAAUCCUUUAACGAGGAUCGACUGGAGGGCAAGCCUGGUGCCAGCAGCCGCGGUAAUUCCAGCUCCAGUAGCGUAUAUUAAAGCUGUUGCGGUUAAAAAGCUCGUAGUUGGAUAUCAGUGCGUGUCCGGUCCGGUAUGCCUGGCGCUGUCGCUCACGCGGCAAUGCUGGGCUCCCAAAUAUCGGCUGGCCGCAUUCAAUCGUGCCGGAUCCGUCGACGGGCCGUUCUUCGGAGGGGCCUGUUGGCGACCGGCGACGUUACCUUGAACAAAUUAGAGUGCUCAAAGCAGGCUCUGAAUGCCUGUAUACAUAUUCAUGGAAUUGGAGAAUACGUCCCUGGCUCGAUUUGGUUGGUUUUGAGAGUCGAAGGGAAAUGAUUAAUAGGGACUGACGGAGGCAUUCGUAUUGCGACGCGAGGGGUGAAAUCCUGUGACCGUCGCACGACGAACUACUGCGAAAGCAUUUGCCGAGAAUGUUUUCAUUAGUCAAGAACGAAAGUUAGAGGUUCGAAGGCGAUCAGAUACCGCCCUAGUUCUAACCGUAAACGAUGUCGACCAGCAAUCCGCAACGGUCACUACACGGACUGUGCGGGCAGCUUCCCCGGGGAAACCAGAGUUUUUGGACUCCGGGGGAAGUAUGGUUGCAAAGCUGAAACUUAAAGGAAUUGACGGAAGGGCACCACCAGGAGUGGAGCUUGCGGCUUAAUUUGACUCAACACGGGACAACUCACCAGGCCCGGACACCGUAAGGAUUGACAGACUGAUAGCUCUCUCUUGAUUCAGUGGGUGGUGGUGCAUGGCCGUUCUUAGUUGGUGGAGUGAUUUGUCUGGUUUAUUCCGAUAACGAACGAGACUCUGGCCUAUUAAACUUGACGCUGUCAGUCUCUUGUGACUGCGGCGCG